ensembl:snoRNA
CUCACAUGAUGAAAUAAGUGUUGGUAGGGACAUCUGAGUUAAAUUGAAGAAACGCCAACCGUUCUGACCUUGUGAG